rnacentral:lncRNA from 1 species
GUGAGUCAUCCAUUCUUCAUGGCACAGCUGUCGCCUUCCUGAAACUCACAUUAGACACGCGCUCAUAGAAUCAAAUGUACCACAUGCAGCCAUUACAGACGGGCACACCAACCCCAGACUGCUGUUGCCAGGGUACAGUCUGCUGCUGAGAGGCUGUCAGAGUGGUGAGUAGCCACUCAUACCACCUGUCAUCAGAGAAUGAGGAGCGAGCAGGGGAGGGGCAGGCCGUGUGGCCUCCGGAGAUGGCAGCAGACGGAGAUCCGGGCAGAGAAAACAAAAGAGAGCAAGAGAGAAGACAGUGGGUGAAGUCCUGGUUCCAGACUCCCCUUUUUGCCGGGAUAUGAUGGAUCUGUCAGCUGGUGCCUAGAGUCCUAGAGAGCUAGAGAUGGAGGGAAAUUCAGAUCAUCUAAACCCUUCAGCCCUUCACUGGACAGAAGAGGAAACUGAGGCUCCAUCUGCAUGACGUUCCCAGAGUCACGGCACAAAUUCAUGGAAGAAGCAGCAGGAAACUCAGUUCUCCAGUCUGGGUCCAAUGUGUGUUUUAGAAAUAUCUCCACAGGGUUAAUGACUCAAUUUUUCAUGCAUGAUUGCUAGUAAUGACAAUCAUGUUAUGUUUGUUUCUGUAGCUUUGGAAAUCACUCCUUCCACUUGAGUUUCAGGUCCCAACUGUCCACACCUGCAGGAGUGAGGUUUUGCUGAGACUGAUAAGGCACUCACAUUUUGUGGGAGUUGAAUUGUCUCUGUAGCCUAGAAUCUAGAUUUUUUUCCCUCCUCUGCUCUCAGUGAACGGAGAAUUCCAUCUCGGUACAAUCUGUGAACCAUUCUGCAGUAAGAUUGUCAUCGUCUCAUUCAUACUACCUGGUCGGUAACACAAAGGGCUGUAAUUGAUGUGGUUCAGAGACUCACAUCCAAGCAAUAAAAAUGAAUCCCUUAUGGUGGUCUGCAGCAACGCAAAUGGAUCCAGUGUCUGGCUUUAAUGGGAGUGGGGAAAUUGCUAACAGAUGACGGUAACUUUC